rnacentral:rRNA from 1 species
UACAGGGGGGGCAAGCGUUGUUCGGAAUUACUGGGCGUAAAGGGUUCGUAGGUGGCCACUUAAGUCAGACGUGAAAUCCCUCAGCUUAACUGGGGAACUGCGUCUGAUACUGGGUGGCUUGAGUGCAGGAGAGGAAUGCGGAAUUCCAGGUGUAGCGGUGAAAUGCGUAGAUAUCUGGAGGAACACCGGUGGCGAAGGCGGCAUCCUGGACCGACACUGACGCUGAGGAGCGAAAGCCAGGGGAGCAAACGGG